GAGUUUGAUCUUGGCUCAGAUUGAACGCUGGCGGCAUGCCUUACACAUGCAAGUCGAACGGCAGCAUGAUCUAGCUUGCUAGAUUGAUGGCGAGUGGCGAACGGGUGAGUAAUACAUCGGAACGUGCCCUGUAGUGGGGGAUAACUAGUCGAAAGAUUAGCUAAUACCGCAUACGACCUGAGGGUGAAAGUGGGGGACCGCAAGGCCUCAUGCUAUAGGAGCGGCCGAUGUCUGAUUAGCUAGUUGGUGGGGUAAAGGCCCACCAAGGCGACGAUCAGUAGCUGGUCUGAGAGGACGAUCAGCCACACUGGGACUGAGACACGGCCCAGACUCCUACGGGAGGCAGCAGUGGGGAAUUUUGGACAAUGGGCGAAAGCCUGAUCCAGCAAUGCCGCGUGUGUGAGAAGG
rnacentral:rRNA from 1 species